UACGGGGGGGGCAAGCGUUGUUCGGAAUUACUGGGCGUAAAGGGCUCGUAGGCGGCCAACUAAGUCAUACGUGAAAUCCCUCGGCUUAACCGGGGAACUGCGUGUGAUACUGGAUGGCUUGAGAUUGGGAGAGGGAUGCGGAAUUCCAGGUGUAGCGGUGAAAUGCGUAGAUAUCUGGAGGAACACCGGUGGCGAAGGCGGCAUCCUGGACCAACACUGACGCUGAGGAGCGAAAGCCAGGGGAGCAAACGGG
rnacentral:rRNA from 1 species